UACGUAGGGUGCAAGCGUUAAUCGGAAUUACUGGGCGUAAAGCGUGCGCAGGCGGUUAUAUAAGACAGAUGUGAAAUCCCUGGGCUCAACCUAGGAACUGCAUCUGUGACUGUAUAGCUAGAGUACGGUAGAGGGGGAUGGAAUUCCGCGUGUAGCAGUGAAAUGCGCAGAUAUGCGGAGGAACACCGAUGGCGAAGGCAAUCCCCUGGACCUGUACUGACGCUCAUGCACGAAAGCUAGGGGAGCGAAAGGG
rnacentral:rRNA from 1 species